UGAACUAAGAGUUCUAUUUUUGUGUUCUUCCUCUCUUUGAAAAAUUAAAGAGAGAAAAAAAAAAAGUCAU
rnacentral:ribozyme from 13 species